CUCAAAAAAAAGGAUGGGAACCUGCUUCUCACCCAAAUCUUAUCCUCUCCACUCUACCCUGCUUCUCAUAGACCUAGGUCGCCGCCACCGCCGCUCGCUUUCCAUGGAUCCCUAGCCUCAGCCUCCACCAUCGCUACCUAUGCCUCCCCUCCUUGCUACCUGACCUCCUUAGAGGUCCAGUUCAUGCCGGCCCGUCAUAUGCUCCCCAUCCAAGUCAGAUCCGGAAGCUCACGGUCAGCAUCGAGUUCCCGUAGAUCUCCCUGCGUCGCCAGCGCCGGCCAAGCGGAGUGCUUCCGGCAGCAAGCCUGAUGCGGAUUUGGUUGUCCCGUGCUGGUGAGGCGGUGACAUACGCUGAGUUCUUGCUUCUCAUCUGCAACGCCGCCGAGCCGGACGCAAGUCCGUGUCUUCCAUCAUGCGCUCGAUGAGACAGGAUGCGCACCUUCCAAGAACAUCUUCCUCAGCGCCAUAUGGAAACGCUGAGCACUGCUAGCUAGCUCAGACAAACCUAAUGAUGUGCGAGCAAAUCUAUAUGUGAAGCAUCAUUGUCGUACUUUGCUAGAAUCUGGAAGGUACAAAAAUACAAUAGGAUGGCAUGGAGGAUGGCAUGGAAGUGUCAUCUUGCUUCAGUUCAACUUCAAGGUACAGAAGUGUCAUCUUGCUUCUUUGCAGCUAGAAGGUGAACUUCAGUUGAUCUUUAGUUUACUUGACUAAAAGAUAUACCGAGCUGUCACCAAAUUUAGAUAACUAGCUAGGAGUCAUACAUAAGGAGUUGUAGAGUUUAAAUCAAUCUGUCAUAUGAUGACUUUAGAUUUGAAAAAUGUAUACUUGGUGGACUUCUCAUUUAUUUAUUUUGUUCCAAUAGCUUAUUGAUGACAAUGUGAUAUGUAUGUAACAUGUAAAUAAUCAGACAAGCUAGAUUUGAUGGAGCUGACAAAUUGUAGUUGCAGAUGCAAGUCCGUUUGUGU